GACAACCUGUAAUGCGCGUGCUUGAUUGUAUUAUCUUAGAACCGAUAUUUGAAUAUUAGGGAGCUGUCCCUUGCCGUGAUGUGCAGGCCCGCAACGGUUACCGUUUGCGGGAAGCCUUAAAACGCGGCAAAACGGGUCCCACCUCGUAAUUGGGGUUCAAAUAAGAUAGCCAGUCACACGGCACCCGCGGGACCC
rnacentral:other from 1 species